rnacentral:lncRNA from 1 species
AUGGGAGGAGUGUUAAUGCUGAGUAGGUGUAUAAUAGGGGCGCAGGUCUUAACAAGCAGAUUAUGUGGAAGUGCAUGAGACGUGAGCCAUGUUUUCAUCAGUGGGGGGUGGACAUGCUGUGUGUUUGUACAUGCUGAUGUGUGUGUAAGUGUCAAGCGCUUUGACUGUUUCUCGUCUUGUUUGACCAGUCCAUGCAGCUUGGCUCACACUCUGAAACUGAGAUUUCUUAUCCACUGCAUCAGAAAAGCACGUUUACUGCCAUGCCACCUUCAUGAGCACAAGUUCUGCUGUAGCUUGCACUUGCAGGUGUCAGUGAAGCCUUUACCCCGAAGCUGGUGUUGGUUAGUGCAGAUACACCCUGUGGAUAGCCGAACCCAUUUGUAGUCAAAUAAUC